GACGAACGCUGGCGGCGUGCCUAAUACAUGCAAGUCGAACGCAGUGGGGACGGGUGAGUAACACGUGGGUAACCUCCCAUCAGAGGGGAUAACACUUGGAAACAGGUGCUAAACCGAUACUGAUGGAUGAACCCGCGGUGCAUUAGCUAGGUGGUGAGGUAACGGCUCACCAAGGCCACGAUGCAUAUCGGGCCUGAGGGGGAGGUCGGCCACACAGGGACUGAUACACGGCCCAGAGUCCUACGGGAGGCAGCAGUAGGGAAUCUUCGGCAAUGGACGAAAGUCUGACCGAGCCACGCCGCGUGAGUGAAGAAGGUUUGAGGAUCGAAAAACUCUGUUGUGAGAGAAGCGGUAUCUAACCAGAAAGCCACGGCUAACUACGUGCCAGCCGCCGCGGUAAUAC
rnacentral:rRNA from 1 species